rnacentral:rRNA from 1 species
CCUAAUACUGACGCUGAGGUACGAAAGCAUGGGGAGCAAACAGGAUUAGAUACCCUGGUAGUCCAUGCCGUAAACGAUGUCUACUAGCCGUUGGGGCCUUUGAGGCUUUAGUGGCGCAGCUAACGCGAUAAGUAGACCGCCUGGGGAGUACGGUCGCAAGACUAAAACUCAAAUGAAUUGACGGGGGCCCGCACAAGCGGUGGAGCAUGUGGUUUAAUUCGAUGCAACGCGAAGAACCUUACCUGGUCUUGACAUAGUAAGAACUUUCCAGAGAUGGAU